UAAUACGGAGGGAGCUAGCGUUGUUCGGAAUUACUGGGCGUAAAGCGCACGUAGGCGGCUUUGUAAGUUAGAGGUGAAAGCCCGGGGCUCAACUCCGGAACUGCCUUUAAGACUGCAUCGCUUGAAUCCAGGAGAGGUGAGUGGAAUUCCGAGUGUAGAGGUGAAAUUCGUAGAUAUUCGGAAGAACACCAGUGGCGAAGGCGGCUCACUGGACUGGUAUUGACGCUGAGGUGCGAAAGCGUGGGGAGCAAACAGGA
rnacentral:rRNA from 1 species